CCCAUAGGAUCCCAUAUGGCCCCAUACGGCCCCAUAGGAUCCCAUAGGGCCCCAUAGGAUCCCAUAGGGCCCCAUAGAAUCCCAUAGGUCCCCAUAGGAUCUGAUAGGGCCCCAUAUCCCCAUAGGAUCCCAUAUGGCCACAUACGGCCCCAUAGGAUCCCAUAGGGCCCCAUAGCCCCAUAGGACCCCAUAAGGCCCUAUAGGACCCCAUACGGCCCCAUAGGAUCCCAUAGGGCCCCAUAGCCCCAUAUGGCCCCAUAGAAUCCCAUAGGUCCCCAUAGGAUCUGAUAGGGCCCCAUAUCCCCAUAGGAUCCCAUAUGGCCACAUACGGCCCCAUCGGAUCCCAUAGGGCCCCAUAGCCCCAUAGGACCCCAUAAGGCCCUAUAGGACCCCAUAAGGCCCCAUAGGAUCCCAUAGGGCUCCAUAUCCCCAUAGGAUCCCAUAGGAACCCACAGGAUCCCAUAGGAUCCCAUAGGGCCCCAUAGCCCCAUACAGCCCCAUAGAAUCCCAUAGGUCCCCAUAGGAUCUGAUAGAGCCCUAUAUCCCCAUAGGAUCCCAUAUGGCCCCAUACGGCCCCAUAGGAUCCCAUAGGGCCCCAUAGCCCCAUAAGGCCCCAUAGAAUCCCACAGGUCCCCAUAGGAUCUGAUAGGGCCCCAUAUCCCCAUAGGACCCCAUAAGGCCCUAUAGGACCCCAUAAAGCCCCAUAGGAUUCCAUAGGGCUCCAUAGCCCCAUAUGGCCCCAUAAGAACCCACAGGGCCCCAUACGACCCCAUAGGAUCCCAUAGGGUCCCAUAGCCCCAUAGAAUCCCAUAUGGCCACAUACGGCCCCAUAGGAACCCAUAGGGCCCCAUAGCCCCUUAGGGCCCCAUAUGGCCCCAUACGGCCUCAUAGGAACCCAUAGGGCCCCAUAUCCCCAUAGGAUCCCAUACGGCCCCACAGGACCCCAUAUGAACCCACAGGACCCCAUAUCCACAUAGGGCCCCAUAAGGCCCCAUAGGAACCCAUAGGAUCCCAUAUGGCCCCAUAGCCCCAUAGUGCCCCAUAUGGCCGCAUACGGCCUCAUAGGAAUCCAUAGGGCCCCAUAUCCCCAUACGACCCCAUGUGGCCCCACAGGAUCCCAUAUGAACCCAUAGGGCCCCAUAUCCCCAUACAGCCCCAUAGGGCCCCAUAGGAACCCAUAGGAUCCCAUAUGGCCCCAUAUCCCCAUACAGCCCCAUAUGGCCCCAUACAGCCUCAUAGGAACCCAUAGGGCCCCAUAUCCCCAUACAACCCCAUACGGCCCCAUACGGCCUCAUAUGAACCCAUAGGACCCCAUAUCCCCAUACAGCCCC
ensembl:lncRNA